CUCGGUCUGUGCAGGCAGUCUGCCGGCCUGCCCCGGGAGGAGGGCCCGGCGAGGGGAGGCGGCCAAGCGGUAGCGGUAGCAACGGAGGAGCCGGCAGCGUGCGCAGCCCAGGGUGGCUCUGCGACCGGGCUCCUUCCCCGCUGCUCUCGCCGGCUGUCGCCCACCUCCCUGACAGUGUUACCGCCCCCGGCCUGCGAGCAACAUGAGAGUAGUGGCUUUGAUCAGUGGUGGGAAGGACAGUUGUUACAAUAUGAUGCAAUGUGUUGCUGCUGGGCAUCAGAUUGUUGCUCUAGCCAAUUUAAGACCUGCUGAAAAUACAGGGCAGACUGAUGAAUUGGACAGCUAUAUGUAUCAGACAGUAGGACACCAUGCCAUUGACCUAUAUGCUGACGCAAUGGAUUUGCCACUCUAUUGUGGUUUUAUAAAAGGUACCAGUGUAAAUACUGGAAGAGUGUAUACUGCAUGCCAGGAAGAUGAGGUUGAAGACCUUUACCAGCUCAUGAAACUUGUUAAGGACAAAGAAGGAGUUGAGGGUGUAUCUGUGGGAGCGAUUCUUUCUGACUACCAGAGAGUUCGAGUGGAAGAUGUGUGCAGAAGGCUUAAUCUUCAGCCUUUAGCUUACCUCUGGCAUUGGAGCCAGGAAAUACUGCUUAAAGAAAUGAUAUCAUCUAACAUUCAAGCCAUAAUCAUAAAAGUGGCAGCAUUUGGAUCUGCUAGGGCUGAGAGCAGGAUUAGAGUGAUUAGAAAUGCCACAUGCCCUCAUUCAUUUACAGGUUUAGAUCCAGAUAAACAUCUAGGAAAAACAAUAGGUGAAAUGGAGCCUGUUCUUCUGGAGCUCUCUGAGAAAUAUGGAGUCCAUGUUUGUGGGGAAGGAGGAGAAUAUGAAACAUUCACUCUGGACUGCCCUCUGUUUAAGAAGAAAAUAGUUGUAGAUUCAGCCAAGGUGGUCAUGCAUUCGGCUGAUGCAUUUGCACCUGUGGCCUACCUUCAUUUUUCAAAAUUACACCUGGAGAAUAAGCAGGAAGAAUCCUUGGGUACUUUUGUGGUCAGUAGCUGUUCUUGUGAGAUAAGCUGUACGGAUGAUUAUAUUUUUCCUUCAUCAGAAGAUUAUGAACCACAGAAAAAUAUUCCAGUCAUCUGGAAGACUUUGAAACAUAAGUCUUUGGAUUUCACUAAGACACUUCAAAAUUCAGGAAAAUCCCUGAGUGGUUACCAGUGGUUUUCAGGUAUCACUGCCCACUUCCAUCCAUCAAAGGAUAAAAAUGCUCAAGAUGCAGCACGGGAAGCAUUUUCUUCUCUCAGAGCUAAUUUGACUUCAGAGGGAUUGAAACUGAAGGAUAUUAUUUUGGUUCAUCUAUAUAUAAAGAGCAUGAAAGAUUUCAGUGUUAUAAACUCAGUUUAUGUGACAGAAUUUGAUUUGUGUCCACCAGCAAGAGUAUGUGUGGAAACACUGUUACCUGAUGGAGUGCUGUUUUGCAUUGACUGCCUUGUGCAUAAGUAUGACAUGGCAACAGAUGAUGUAGCACAUGAUGAAAAGCUGGUCAUGCAUGUACAGAGCAUUUCCCACUGGGCACCUGCCAGCAUAGGACCUUACAGUCAGUCCAUCAAGGUUGGAGAUGUUCUCUACUGUGCUGGACAGAUUGCUCUGGUGCCCUGCACGAUGCAGCUGGUUAGGGGUGGCAUAGGCGCAGAGGCCAGCCUUUCCCUCCGGCACGUUGCGCGAGUUCUGCAAGCCAUGAGCCAGAAGACUGCACUCCACCACGUCAUCACUGCCAGCUGCUACGUAACCGACAGCAAGAGCAUUCCUAUUGCUCGCUCCAUAUGGCAGAGGAAAUUAGGAGAAUGCAAAAAGGCUGAAGAUUCAGAGAUGUAUCAUGAUGAAACUGCAGUAUGUGGGUUGCUUGCUGUGGUUGUAAUAUCUCACCUACCCAGAGAUGCUGCCAUUGAAUGGCAUGUUGUUGCAGUAGUUGAUGAUCCACUCCAAAGAAAACAUUUUGCAAUGAAGAUGUUGUCAGAGGGCUUCCAAAUUGAGUGUGAAUCUGUGGAGUCUAGUUCUGCAUCUUGUGCAUCAAUCUCGCUACGCCUGAGUUUGAUUUCCUCAUCUACUUCUCACCUUGAUUUAGAUGGACCUCUUCAUGACUUAGUUGCUAUGUUUAAACAAGCUGUUGACAAACUUUCAGAAGACUGCAGUGCCAGUCCUUUGUCCUUCAGAGCUUUCUUCAAGGAGCAAGUCUUUGAUGCUGAAACACUGCAAAAAGGACUGCAAGAAUACCUUGAAAAAUAUUUGGAAGAGAAGACCCCGGCUCUGAUUUUAGUACCUGUGGUGGAUUUACCUGACAAAGAUGUUAUUCAUAUAACAUGCUGGCUAAGCUAGCAGUUUAGAGGAGAUGAGUUGAUAUCAAAACACACAUACAUUCCGUCAAGGAGAGAACAACGAAAAGAGCUGAUACUAACUCCAUUGGAUACUUUAAUGAAGCAUUAUUGUUUGAUUUAAGCAAAGUUGCAUUACCUUGUUAAUGAUGCCUCAUGAUAUGUGACAGAGUCAGUGUGGAGUGUCCAUGGGCCAGAGACACAAUGGAUUGUAAGAGAAGAAGAGAAGAUGUACUUUCAGAAAUAAGGAUGAAGUUUAUUUUUCCAUUGAUGCAUAUGGAAACCGAAGAGAUGGCAUAAGUUUCACUGUGUCUCCUGUUGCAGUCAUUUUUUUUCACUGUGAGUUUAAAAAGAUACUGAAACAUGUUGAUCUUAGUUUUUGUACUGUACUGGAUAUUUUAAGGUAGCAGGAUAUUUGCUUCUAAAGAAAACAGCUUUUCCUGGAAGUCUUCCGACAAGAUUCAUUACUCAAACUAGCCUGCUUUUUUUCUCAUUAGAGCUGCACUGAGAAAUGGUAACAGAAUGCAUUGUCUGAAAAACACUUAGAUCUUUUGUAUUUCUCUCAACUGAAAGCAAAACUUUUUUCCUUUUUUUGAGAGAGAGAAAUAGAACUUCAACAGGUUUAAGUUGUGAAUACAUAAAAAAGAACAGUUUGCUGACUUUUUCUCCUAGAGAGACUUCAAACAGUUUCUGAGUGGUGUGAAUGAAACUAUAAGCUCAGUCUACACUAUUUUAAGUAUGAACAAGGCCAUUUGUGCAACAUUGAUAUGCAAAGUAGGUGAGUAAAUUGUGCCAUAGAGAGGCCUCAGACUUUUAUAAUAGAGAGAAAUAGCACAAUUUAUCUGCCUUAAGCUGCUGUACUUUCAUCAGAAUUACUGGGUCCUACUAUGAAUAAGAUGUUUCAGCAGAGCUCUUUUUGACUUUCUUUGUAACAAUGCUGAAGAUGUGAGGUGGGGAGAUGGGUACAGAAAUCCACACACACACAGACCUACACGUGGUUUAGUGAAAAGAGAGAAGGACAUCAAUAUUCAAAAUUUAUACAUACAGGGCUGGUUUUUGUGGUUUUUUAUUGUGGGGGUUUUUUUACAGAAAGGUCAGUGGAGUGAUUACUCCAGCAAGUUGUAAUCUUGAGACUAUAAAUUCCCAUAUGUGCUAAGACACCAGUUUUGAGGACUUUGUAUGCACACAAAUUUUUAUGUUUCUCUGAUUUUUACGAAGCUUGCAGGAAAAUGUUUUGUAUGCUUAUUAUGACACAAAAUGUUGGCUUACUCCAGCACUUCUUAUAUAAUGGAUGGGGAAAUGUCUUUAAAAGAGUAAACCAAAGUUUUAAUUUUUUGUUUCUCUGCUUAACAAGUGUUAGAAUAUGUCUUGCAAAUCUUCUCUGCUUCUUUUUUUUAUUUCAAAAAGUAAUCUGUCUUGUUAUAGUUCUCUGUGUCCAUAAAAUUUUGUCUCCUGCCUCCUUUUAAAAGUCUCUGUAUAUCAAUUUCUUUAAUUGCUUCAAAGUAUGACCAAAUGGCUCUGUAAGACCAAAACUGAUUUAGUAACUUUGUGCUGUACUCAUUUCAAAACCCAGUGAUGGCAACAGUACUAGUGAGCCUUUACAAUGCACAUGGCUAAGCUGCUAUAAAGGCACCAGAGCUGAUCUUCCUAAAUAGAUUUUAAAAUGACAUUGAGAUAUUUUAAAAAUAGAUUAUUUAAUUUUUUUCCCUGUGAGUUUUAUAGUUAGGUAAUUCAGGAGUUGAUUUGUUACACCAGAUAGCAUGGGUGCAUCUUUCCUCUUAGCCUUCAGAAGUGCAACGAGUACUGGAAGCAGGAUGUCUCCUGAGUAUUAGAGAGGUAAUCUGAAGCAGCUCUUCUCCUUCAAGGACAUCCUGUUCAAUCCAUUAUCUCCUGUCUAUGUGCAGAGCCUAGUCUAUCAAAAUACAGUGACUGAACAAAAAUUUUAUUUCAAAUAAAUGAGUGCAGUGGUUUAAUAAAAGAUUUCUACUGCAUGGUGUAAUAGUUCUAUAAAUGAACACUGAAAUCCUAAAAUACAGAAACUUUUCAUGUGUCCAAGUUAAAUCUUUGUUAUUUCUUUCAGGAUGGCUUUCCUGAAGCAAACCUAGUUUGUUCUCUCUGUUAAAGUAAAACUGUUCUGAGCUCUCCGAGUACUAACUGGCACUUAUUAUUUAAGUAACCUGCUUUUACUAUUAUAAAUGUCUGGCAAUGAGAAUACAUAUUAAGAAUACUUGACAAUUUACUAAUUUAUGAUCUUUUUACUUGUAUUUUAAUAUUUCUGGCAAGCCAGCCUGUGUUGAUGUAUUAGACAAACAUUCAAAAUACAGACUUGAGAUCUUGAAAGCUUCUUUUUUCAACUUUCAUCUGAACACUGAAUAUUUUUGACCUAUUUUAAAUUUUAAUUUUAAAAAACAGACUGGGUACCUGUGAAUUGAACUCAUAUGUUACAUGCAAGUGCCCUUUUACUGAUGAUUCACUUUCUUGGAUUUGACUUUUGUUGGAUUAAUUCAUGACUAGGGUUUGCCUGUGAUUUCCUGCUUUUAUCAUUUUUUACAGCACUGCCUGCUUUUUCCCUACAUUCGCAAGCAGUCUGGUUGUUCUGAGGCUCUUGGCACAGGUUAUGUCACUGGCUAUAGGUCUCCUUGCCAUUACUUUGACUCUCCAUUUCAUUUGCAAUGUUUAAAAAACAUUUGUUGGAUAUGUCUGCUCAUCCUCCAUCUCCUGUUAUGUGGCUAUUUUGUGACUGUAUCAAUCCUAAAUUAUUUCAAAAUGCUGUUUGCAUGAUUUAACAGGGUUGAUGAGACUAACUGUCCACAGUACAACAGGACAGACUCAAAAUAGAUCAGAUUUCACAUUUGCUUUUCCCAGCUUUCAGAAAUUCCUCUCUGAAUUAUAAAGAUCCCCAGUUCAGAAUAAAACAAUGGUUCAGAACAAAAAGACAAGCCGAACUAAAUGUCAUUAACAAGUUGACAGCUGCCCUGAUCUAGUAACCUGUUAGGGCACAUGUUCAAGUCAAGAGGCAAAGGUUAGGGCCAACUCCACCCUUCCCUGGGAAAGUUUAAGCAUAUCCAUUAGAUUUCUUGUGCCUUUAUUUCCAUUUUUCUAUGUUUUCUCACCCUUGUAAAGGUGAGAAAGGGAUGCUAUGUUGUAGUCAUACAACCUGCAAUAACAAAAAGUUUAGACUGAGCGAGCAGCACACAUGAUGUGAAAGUAAUGUUGUAGUGGGAACCAGAACGAAUGUGAUCACAGACAGAAAUUUGCAUGAGCACAAUCUGGAAAGCUUUUCUCCCAGCACACUGCCUGCAGCAGUCUCAGAUCACAGGAGUCUAUAAUACAUCUAGUAACAUUAAUGAUACAUUUUACAGCAGGAUUCAUCCCUGAUGAUCCUGAAGUGCUUUACAGGUCCAUCACAUAAAAUUUUCUUCACUUUUCCAUCACUGGGACAGCCACACACAUACAGGGGGCCUCCCCUGCCCAGCAUGAGUAGGCAGGUCUCAGGUUAUGCUGCUGGGAGAAGAGCUCCUCCACUCUCCCAAGGUAGGGGCAUUUGCUUUGGCAGAAGAAGCAGUUUUCAACCUCAAAAGCACAUCAGCUGGUAGCCAGAGUUACUACUUUCUGUUACUCAUGAGAUUUGUUCUACUUUAGAUUUUGCCAUGGUGGCGGGGGGAAUCUCUCUUCUGACCUCUGUCUCUAUUGUCUUUCUGCAACUCCUGCUACUGGUAGCUGUUGACAGUACUGUCUUACCAUAACAUCCUUCAUCCAUCACAUUAUUGCCAUAUCCUCACUUCACAAGAAAGAUGUAGUUUGUCUGAGCUAGAACUUGAAGCUAUUGCAUUAGUGGUGCAAGCUCAUGUAAGCAUUGCUUCCCCUGCACUGAUGCCCAUGGGCUUGUUGGUAGCUGCCUUGACAUUAGUUUAUUUAGUUGCUUGUAAAAGACCAGAGGCCCAGAAGGAAGAAAUACGUUUCUCAGACGUUAGAGUUAUCUCCUGCAACAAAGUUCAGUCCUACUCCCACACAUACCCAACCGUUUUGCAGCAAGACCCAGAUACAUGCAAAUGCAGAGCCUUUUGUAACUGAACCAAAUUACCACAGCUCCAGAGCUGGAUCUGUUAAGGUUCAAAGCAGGAGGUGUUAAAGGAUAUGAAAUAAUAGAAAGGAAACACAGACAAGAAGUUAUUGCCAAAGGAAUGAUAUUACUAGGAACUGGUGGGGAAGUCAAGCUAAAAAGGCAAACAACAGGUCUAGGGACCUAAGGGAUUUAUUCUUUAUUUAUGGGAUGUCUUUGAAGGAAAGGACCCUGGACUGCCUUCUCACUACUACUAGUUCUUACUAUAAAAGAUUAAUGAAUGAAGAACAAAGAGGAAUAAAUAGAGUUGCCAGGAAAGAGAUCCAGAAGUGAACUUUAAAAUGCAUCUCUCAUCCCUUCAACAAGGUAAAUGCUUUGACUCCUCUAACAGCGUGCUUUGGUCUGGGUCUGAAGGGGAGGAUGCCUGAAAUAAGGGUAAUAUGCAAGAGAAGCCACCAGCUGUGCACCGCGUUAAGGGAUAUUUCUCCUGGGUACUGCCACCAGGAAUGUGGUUAAUAGGUCUUGACUGGAGAGCUGUAGCUUAUAAAUAUGUGUCUCAUCUGUGCUCCUUGAUCAAGGUGCUACAGUGAACCAAGAUGUUGAUUCAGGACUCGUCUUCAUUGUUAUGGAUCUUGUAUAAAACUAACUAUUUAAACACUGAAAAUCUGAGUAUCUUGUAUUGCAGCUCAGAUUAAGCAAGCCAAAUGUGAUUCUCCUAAUGCUACAGUCCCCAGUGCAGACAAAAAGCUUUCUCAGGUUGAGAUCCUGCCACUCACGUAAUUAUUUAGAGAAAGACAGCUCCACUACUUCAAAUCCAGUACUUCACAAGAGGAAUGGAAACAUUAGGAAAAGUUUUUUCUUUGAUGUAGAAUACGCUGCCACUUUUUUGUUAUUAAAAUAGGAGCUAACUUUAAAUAAAUAAAAUUU